rnacentral:rRNA from 1 species
UACGUAGGGUGCAAGCGUUGUCCGGAAUUAUUGGGCGUAAAGAGCUCGUAGGCGGUUUGUCGCGUCGAAUGUGAAAACCCGGGGCUCAACCCCGGGCCUGCAUUCGAUACGGGCAGACUAGAGUUCGGUAGGGGAGUCUGGAAUUCCUGGUGUAGCGGUGGAAUGCGCAGAUAUCAAGGAGGAACACCGGUGGCGAAGGCGGGUCUCUGGGCUGUAACUGACGCUGAGGAGCGAAAGCGUGGGUAGCGAACAGG